rnacentral:sRNA from 1 species
AUGGAAGGCUUUUGGCAUGCAUCUCUCCAUGGAUCUUGAAAAGAAGCAAUUUGGCUAUAUGGGGACGGAGAGGGAUUCCCCCCGCUCCUCAUGAAACAUCUAAUCAGUUUGCCGGGACACUAACCAAAAGCAUCACCACCGUCGGGCCGCAUCGGAGGAGGAGAUCGAAAUUAGCAGAGAUGGGAGGUUUUUGGGUAUUGCCCUGGCAAACCGGCAAGUCACACAACGGCUUUCAAGGCUUUUAAUUAUCAGGUCUU